rnacentral:rRNA from 1 species
CGCGAAACCGUUAGGAGGGAAGCGANUGCAGCCAAAGUGGUUCUCGUUCAGGCUCAGGAGUUGUUGGCAUGCAGUGCUGGGAUGUCAGACGCCGAAGGGUGCUGCAACUCGGAUACAGCUGUCGACUGCUUUGCAUUCCUGGUGAGAACCGGCCAACGGCAGUUACUCCUGGCUCAUGAGGGUUGGUGGGAAGGUAGCUUCUUGGUUUACCGAGAAGAACUUAUAGCCACCAGCCUGGUAGUCUGGGAGUGACUGAGGAGUGCUGUGACUUUUCACACCCGCAGUACAGGCUCCCUAGGGGCCGGGUCCCUUCUGUCUGUGUGGGCAACGCCACAGGGACUGCGUGCAGUGUCUGCGGACGGAUGUGUGCUCAGGUGGGAGGUCGGCCACGUCUUGUGCUGUAGUCGUUGGUACCUGGAUGGCUUCAUUCAACCCGACAUGAAACACGGA